rnacentral:rRNA from 1 species
CCCUUAGUUAUCCUAGGUCGCACGCGCCAUACAAUGUGGCGCACAACGAGUCUCCUUGGCCGACAGGAUGUCCCGCGAGCGAUCGGCGACGCAGCCAGCUCGGUCUUCGGGCAGACUCGGUGAGAGUGGCCCGUCCUCCUGAGAGGGCGAUCGUCGAUGCCUCGGGAUUCUGGGCAAUCUGGCGGAGCGCUACGUGACUGGGCUAGACUUUUGUAAUUUUUGGUCUUGAACGAGGAAUGCCUAGUAAUCGCAGGUCAGCAUCCUGCGAUGAUUCGGUCCCUGCCCUUUGUACACACCGCCCGUCGCUCCAUCCGUGGCAUGCGCCGGUGAAGAGGGGGAGGCAGCGUCGGCCGUGUAACAGCGGAUCGUACGUGGAACCCCUCUGAACCUUCGCACGUAGAGGAAGGAGAAGUCGUAACA